GUGAGGAAUAUUGGUCAAUGGGCGCAAGCCUGAACCAGCCAUCCCGCGUGCAGGAAGACGGCCCUAUGGGUUGUAAACUGCUUUUCCGGGGGGAGAAUUUUUCCGUCGUGACGGGAAUUGACGGUACCCCGGGAAUAAGCAUCGGCUAACUCCGUGCCAGCAGCCGCGGUAAUACGGAGGAUGCGAGCGUUAUCCGGAUUUAUUGGGUUUAAAGGGUGCGUAGGCGGAAUGAUAAGUCAGUGGUGAAAACCUGCAGCUUAACUGUAGACUUGCCGUUGAUACUGUCAGUCUUGAGUGUGGUCAAGGUAGGCGGAAUGUGUAAUGUAGCGGUGAAAUGCUUAGAUAUUACACAGAACACCGAUUGCGAAGGCAGCUUACUGGGCCAUUACUGACGCUGAUGCACGAAAGCGUGGGGAUCGAACAGGAUUAGAAACCCCGGUAGUCC
rnacentral:rRNA from 1 species